AAAAUGUGAUGAGCACUCAAUUGGUCCAUGUUUCUGAUUUAGCUGUGACCGAUAAAUUUUACCAAUCUCUGAUCUC
rnacentral:snoRNA from 1 species